rnacentral:rRNA from 1 species
UGAAACAUCUAAGUACCCCGAGGAAAAGAAAUCAACCGAGAUUCCCCCAGUAGCGGCGAGCGAACGGGGAGGAGCCCAGAGCCUGAAUCAGCAUGUGUGUUAGUGGAAGCGUCUGGAAAGGCGCGCGAUACAGGGUGACAGCCCCGUACACAAAAGCGCAUGUGCUGUGAGCUCGAUGAGUAGGGCGGGACACGUGGUAUCCUGUCUGAAUAUGGGGGGACCAUCCUCCAAGGCUAAAUACUCCUGACUGACCGAUAGUGAACCAGUACCGUGAGGGAAAGGCGAAAAGAACCCCGGCGAGGGGAGUGAAAAAGAACCUGAAACCGUGUACGUACAAGCAGUGGGAGC